UAGUGUCACACUAAGAUCGCGAAAAUAUUUGGCCUAAUGUAUUAACCCUUUCCCCGUAAAGCCGCCGCAGGGGCGCGGAGAAGACAGGGAGUGAACGCUGAACUGCUCAAGGUAGCGAUCGAGAUCGAGAUCUCUCUUUUUGGCUGCUGUCGGCGACAGUAGCCGGUCACCAAGACCAGCGACACAGAUCGCAAAUCGUCUCCGUUUGGUAUCGUGCGAUCGGGAACGCGGGUCGCAAGUAGGGUAGGCACUUUGAAAUUGAUCAAGUAUUACUUCAUGAAGCCACAACCUAAAGGACGAUCUUCUGACAGUACCGAUCAAUCCAUUAGGCAGCACGAGGCUGGUUCCUGCUACGACUUUACCAAGAUAUCUGAGGCUCUACAUUUAGCACACAACUCCCUCGACAAUGAGGUAGUUUAUCAUUGCAGCAACUCCAUUGUUAUGGAGAAUGAGAGUGCGUCGCGUUCUUACGACUUCGGAGAGAUGUCCGAGGCGCUGUCUAAUUGCGAAGAUGAGGACAGAAACUCUCUUGCGUUUCGUCAAGCGCUCCUCAUCAAGCUUGGAAGGCCAUCUUUCUUAAAGACUAGGGAAAAGAUGAUCAGAUCAGAGCCUCUCAAGGUAAGGAAAGUAAAGCUUGUCAAUGUGAAGACAGGAACAGGAAAAGUACCAACUUUGUACAACAUAGCCUUGAGAUCAUUGAGAAAGCGUAGCUAAUAUAUUUAGUUAUUUUUGGAAUUUAUCCUACAUUGGAAAGUGCUCUUGACGAUAUCGUUCCUCUUACUAUAUAGUUUAACAUGUCAAAUUCUUAUU